CUGGAUAAUUGCUGGCAUAAGCUAGAGGAAAGUCCAUGCUCGCACUACCUGAGAUGGUAGUAGUGAUUGCGCUAGCGGAAGAAAUAACGCUAGGUAUGCAGGAGUGCAUAACGGCGGGAAUAAUCUAAAACUUCGGUCAUGAUGAUUUCCCUGAAAGUGCCACAGUGACGAUAGCGGUGGAAACACCGAAGUGGAACGCGGGUAAACCCCACAAGCGAGAAACCCAAAUUUGGUAGGGGAAGCAAGAUAGGAGAACUCAAUCCUUGACGGCAUACACUAUGUGUAUAGAUAAAUUAUUAUCCUAGACAAAACAUGGCUUACAG
rnacentral:RNase_P_RNA from 1 species